rnacentral:rRNA from 1 species
AGUGAACGCUGGCGGUAGGCCUAACACAUGCAAGUCGAACGGCAGCACAGUAAGAGCUUGCUCUUACGGGUGGCGAGUGGCGGACGGGUGAGGAAUACAUCGGAAUCUACUUUUUCGUGGGGGAUAACGUAGGGAAACUUACGCUAAUACCGCAUACGACCUACGGGUGAAAGCAGGGGAUCUUCGGACCUUGCGCGAUUGAAUGAGCCGAUGUCGGAUUAGCUAGUUGGCGGGGUAAGGGCCCACCAAGGCGACGAUCCGUAGCUGGUCUGAGAGGAUGAUCAGCCACACUGGAACUGAGACACGGUCCAGACUCCUACGGGAGGCAGCAGUGGGGAAUAUUGGACAAUGGGCGAAAGCCUGAUCCAGCCAUACCGCGUGGGUGAAGAAGGCCUUCGGAUUGUAAAGCCCUUUUGUUGGGAAAGAAGAGCAGCAGGUUAAUACCCCGCUGUUCUGACGGUACCCAAAGAAUAAGCACCGGCUAACUUCGUG